CAGCGCCACGGUAAUACGGAGGGUGCAAGCGUUAAUCGGAAUUACUGGGCGUAAAGCGCACGCAGGCGGUCUGACAAGUCAGAUGUGAAAUCCCCGGGCUUAACCUGGGAACUGCAUUUGAAACUGUCAGGCUGGAGUCUUGUAGAGGGGGGUGGAAUUCCAGGUGUAGCGGUGAAAUGCGUAGAGAUCUGGAGGAAUACCGGUGGCGAAGGCGGCCCCCUGGACAAAGACUGACGCUCAGGUGCGAAAGCGUGGGGAGCAAACAGGAUUAGAUACCCCUGUAGUCCCUGUCUCUUAUACA
rnacentral:rRNA from 1 species